CGUAGCCGGUUCUACAAGUCUUCCGUUAAAUCCACCUGCUUAACAGAUGGGCUGCGGAGGAUACUAUGGAGCUAGGAGGCGGGAGAGGCAAGCGGUACUUAGUGGGUAGGGGUAAAAUCCGUUGAUCCAUUGAAGACCACCAGUGGCGAAGGCGGCUUGCCAGAACGCACUCGACGGUGAGGGAUGAAAGCUGGGGGAGCAAACCGGAUUAGAUACCCGGGUAGUCCCAGCUGUAAACGAUGCAGACCCGGUGAUGAAUAGGCUUCGUGCCUAUUCAGUGCCGCAGGGAAGCCGUUAAGUCUGCCGCCUGGGGAGUACGGUCGCAAGACUGAAACUUAA
rnacentral:rRNA from 1 species